GGGGAUAAGCGGAAGAAAUUCCGUCUAAUACCGCGUAAUAACUCCGAGAGGCAUCUCCUGGGGUUUAAAGGGUAACACCGGCUACGGAUGGCCAUGCGGCGCAUUAGCUAGUUGGCGGGGUAACGGCCCACCAAGGCGACGAUGCGUAGGGGUUCUGAGAGGAAGGUCCCCCACACUGGUACUGAGACACGGACCAGACUCCUACGGGAGGCAGCAGUGAGGAAUAUUGGUCAAUGGGCGCGAGCCUGAACCAGCCAAGUCGCGUGAGGGAAGACGGUCCUAUGGAUUGUAAACCUCUUUUGUCGGGGAGCAAAAGACGCCACGCGUGGCGUUCCGAGAGUACCCGAAGGAAAAGCAUCGGCUAACUCCGUGCCAGCAGCCGCGGUAAUACGGAGGAUGCGAGCAUUAUCCGGAUUUAUUGGGUUUAAAGGGUGCGCAGGCGGAAGAUCAAGUCAGCGGUAAAAUUGAGAGGCUCAACCUCUUCGAGCCGUUGAAACUGGUUUUCUUGAGUGAGCGAGAAGUAUGCGGAAUGCGUGGUGUAGCGGUGAAAUGCAUAGAUAUCACGCAGAACUCCGAUUGCGAAGGCAGCAUACCGGCGCUCAACUGACGCUCAUGCACGAAAGUGUGGGUAUCGAACAGGAUUAGAUACCCUGGUAGUCCACACAGUAAACGAUGAA
rnacentral:rRNA from 1 species